rnacentral:rRNA from 1 species
CCUACGGGAGGCAGCCGUGAGGAAUAUUGGUCAAUUGACUAUAGUCUUAACCAGCCAAGUAUCGUGAAGGAUGACUGCCCUAUGGGUUGUAAACUUCUUUUAUAAAGGAAUAAAACGAGGCACGUGUGCCUUUUUGCAUGUACUUUAUGAAUAAGGAUCGGCUAACUCCGUGCCAGCAGCCGCGGUAAUACGGAGGAUCCGAGCGUUAUCCGGAUUGAUUGGGUUUAGAGGGAGCGUAGAUGGGUUGUUAAGUCAGUUGUGAAAGUUUGCGGCUCAACCGUAAAAUUGCAAUUGAUACUGGCAGUCUUGAGUACAGUUGAGGUAAGCGGAAUUCGUGGUGUAGCGGUGAAAUGCUUAGAUAUCACGAAGAACCCCGAUUGCGAAGGCAGCUUACUAAACUGUGACUGACAUUGAUGCUCGAAAGUGUGGGUAUCAAACAGGAUUAGAUACCCCUGUAGUC